rnacentral:sRNA from 1 species
AUUUACUCUUGCGUUAGGGAUGGAAGCGGCAUCCUUUUUAUUUAUCGAAAACUUGUUUUAAAAUAAAUAAAAAGAUACAGCGGACAGCCCGACCCGAA